UGUGUUAGAAAUCAUUAUUUAUAUAUAAUCCAUUUUAGUAAAAAUAUUUAUAACAAUUUGGUAAAAUUAGUAAUAUUAUUUUAAUACUAUAUAAAAUCAAUAUUUAUUUUACUCAUUUAUUUGUCAUAUAUUUCUUUAAAUAUAACAAUAUGGGGCAUGAGAUUAUUAUUUUAGAAAUCUUAAUAUUAUUUUUGCCUUAUUAUUUAAAUAAUCACUAAAUUCCCUAUAAUUGACAAAUCCUCAAACUUAAUAGGGUAAUUCUCUUGUGCACGAUCUUCUUGGGAAAUUCCUGAUUCUUAAUUUUAUUCCAAGAAAUACGCAACGCAACCUAAGGUGAGUAUACUUGAUCCCAUUUUGAUUUUAUCACUUUUGGGUGCAACAUGUAUUCUAUACAAAACACGCAACACUUGAAACUUGUUAUAUGCACACUCUAUCCGUUUUUAAACAUGAAACAAUUUUGAUGCUUGUUAAUCUCGUAUGCCAUGUAAACUUUUCGUGUUUAUAUGCUCAUUAACCUUGAGUACGCACCGCCCUUGAGUGAGUCUUGGGGCGUGUGCGUUGAAACUUCUGAGACUACUAAGACUACUGAGACUUAUUAAACUUCUGAGACUUAUUAAAUCUCCUAUUCUAUAGGAGUACGCAUCGCCCUUGAGUGAGUCUUGGGGCGUGUGUGUUGAAACUUCUGAAACUACUGAGACUUAUUAAACUUCAGAGACUUAUUAAAUCUCCUAUUAUGUAGGAGUAUGCGCCGCCCUUGAGUGAGUCUUGGGGCGUGUGCGUUGGAAACUUGGGUUUGACAUAUAGUGACACUGUUUCAGCAUAUUAGUAACUUGUAUUAUGUUGUUCAUGUUGGAUAUGAGUAUUUAAACUUUUUACUCUACUUUAUGCUAUGUAUCAAACCUGUAUACUCGCCAACUUUUGUUGAUGUUACUUUAAUACAUGUUGCAGGUUGAUAGAUGAAGAUUCAAGAAUCAAGUUAGGUUGGAUUAGAAACACACCUAGAAAUAACUAUGUUGGAAUCCUGUUUGUUUAUUUGAACAAUGUAUGACAUUUUAGAAUUUAUGAAAUUGAAUUUAAAUUAUAUUGUCACAAUUAGUGUUAUGUUGUUUUGAGCAAUUUGUUCGUCUCAUCCCGAUGUUUCCGCCAUCGGUUGGGGUGUGACAUAUAUAUAAUCGAAUUUUUAACUAGACUUGUUAUGCCGUUUCAUAAUUUUCUUAUGUUGGUUCUUUGUUAUCAGGACGCUAUCGGUUGUAAACUUGUAAAAAUAUAACCUUUUUAGAACUUGUUAUUCCCAACUGAA
rnacentral:lncRNA from 1 species